AAUCUGCGACAAUGGGCGAAAGCAUGAUGGAGCAAGACCGCGGGAAUGAAGAAGGCUUCCGGAUCGUAAAACUCUGUUGUAAGGGAAGAACAAGUACCGUAGUAACUGGCCGUCACUUGACGGUACAGUAUUAGAAAGCCACGGCUAACUACGUGCAAGCAGCUGCGGUAAUACGUAGGUGGCAAGCGUUGUCCGGAAUUAUUGGGCGUAAAGCGCGCGCAGGCGGUCCUUUAAGUCUGAUGUGAAAGCCCACGGCUCAACCGUGGAGGUUCAUUGGAACCUGGGGGACUUGAGUGCAGAAGAGGAAAGUGUAAUUCCAAGUGUAGCGGUGAAAUGCGUAGGGAUUUGGAGGAACACCAGUGGCGAAGGCUACUUUCUGGUCUGUAACUGACGCUGAGGCGCGAAAGCGUGGGGAGCAAACGGG
rnacentral:rRNA from 1 species